rnacentral:rRNA from 1 species
GACGAACGCUGGCGGCGUGCUUAACACAUGCAAGUCGAACGGAAAGGCCCUGCUUUUGUGGGGUGCUCGAGUGGCGAACGGGUGAGUAACACGUGAGUAACCUGCCCUUGACUUUGGGAUAACUUCAGGAAACUGGGGCUAAUACCGGAUAGGAGCUCCUGCUGCAUGGUGGGGGUUGGAAAGUUUCGGCGGUUGGGGAUGGACUCGCGGCUUAUCAGCUUGUUGGUGGGGUAGUGGCUUACCAAGGCUUUGACGGGUAGCCGGCCUGAGAGGGUGACCGGCCACAAUGGGACUGAGGUACGGCCCAGACCCCUACGGGAGGGAGCAGUGGGGGAUAUUGCACAAUGGGCGGAAGCCUGAUGCAGCCACGCCGCGUGCGGGAUGACGGCCUUCGGGUUGGAAACCGCUUUCGCCUGUGACGAAGCGUGAGUGACGGUAAUGGGUAAAGAAGCACCGGCUAACUACGUG